GACGAACGCUGGCGGCGUGCUUAACACAUGCAAGUCGAACGAUGAAGCUGGAGCUUGCUCUGGCGGAUUAGUGGCGAACGGGUGAGUAACACGUGAGAAAUCUGCCCUUGACUCUGGGAUAACUGCGGGAAACUGUAGCUAAUACCGGAUACUUUCCCUGGUGGGCAUCCACUGGGGAAGAAAGAAUUUCGGUCAAGGAUGAUCUCGCGGCCUAUCAGCUUGUUGGUGAGGUAAUGGCUAACCAAGGCAACGACGGGUAGCCGGCCUGGGAGGGUGACCGGCCACACUGGGACUGAGACACGGCCCAGACUCCUACGGGGGGCAGCGGUGGGGAAUAUUGCACAAUGGGCGCAAGCCUGAUGCAGCAGCGCCGCGUGAGGGAUGAAGGCCUUCGGGUUGUAAACCUCUUUUAGCAGGGAAGAAGCGAAAGUGACGGUACCUGCAGAAAAAGCACCGGCUAACUACGUGCCAGCCGCCGCCGUAA
rnacentral:rRNA from 1 species